UACGUAGGGUGCGAGCGUUGUCCGGAAUUACUGGGCGUAAAGAGCUCGUAGGUGGUUUGUCGCGUUGUCCGUGAAAACUCACAACUCAAUUGUGGGCGUGCGGGCGAUACGGGCAGACUGGAGUACUGCAGGGGAGACUGGAAUUCCUGGUGUAGCGGUGGAAUGCGCAGAUAUCAGGAAGAACACCGGUGGCGAAGGCGGGUCUCUGGGCAGUAACUGACGCUGAGGAGCGAAAGCGUGGGGAGCGAACAGG
rnacentral:rRNA from 1 species